rnacentral:rRNA from 1 species
UACGGAAGGCAGCAGUGGGGAAUAUUGCACAAUGGGCGCAAGCCUGAUGCAGCCAUGCCGCGUGUAUGAAGAAGGCCUUCGGGUUGUAAAGUACUUUCAGUCGUGAGGAAGUGUUAAGGUUAAUAACCUUAGCAAUUGACGUUAGCGACAGAAGAAGCACCGGCUAACUCCGUGCCAGCAGCCGCGGUAAUACGGAGGGUGCGAGCGUUAAUCGGAAUUACUGGGCGUAAAGGGCACGCAGGCGGUUAAUUAAGUUGGAUGUGAAAUCCCCGGGCUUAACCUGGGAAUGGCAUUCAAGACUGGUUAGCUAGAGUCUUGUAGAGGGGGUAGAAUUCCAUGUGUAGCGGUGAAAUGCGUAGAGAUGUGGAGGAAUACCGGUGGGCGAAGGCGGCCCCUGGGACAAAAGACUGACGCUCAUGUGCGAAAGCGUGGGGAGCGAAACAGGGAUUAGAUACC